GCCCGACUUUUCCGAAUUUUGCCCGACAAGUACCGAAAAAAUUUUUCCCUGAAUUUCUUCUGGCGACAUCCCCCCUCCGUCGCCAAAAAAAUUUCGGUCAGUGUACCAUUUUAGGGGUCAAAAAUUUUUUCCGGACCUACCAAAAUUUUCCGGAACCUAACAAAAAUUUUCGAAAUAUCAGUAAAUUGACCGCAAAAUUUACAGAAUUUGUUCAAUUUUUUUUUAAUAAACCAAAACUGCCCGACUGUUCAGCGAAUAUUGCCCGACUGCCCAACUAAUCCAUGCAUGUACGCGGAUGAUACUCAAAUCUUUUCAUCUUCCUACGAUGCAAAUGAACUUGUUGUAAAUUUAAAUUCAGAUCUUGCCCAUGUCUG